rnacentral:pre_miRNA from 1 species
AGCUGGUGUUGACAGGCAGAGACAGGAGCAACUGCUGGUGUGCCUUGGGAGCAUUGCACUUGUCUCGGUCUGACAGUGUCAACA